CGAAUGCUGACAUAAGUAACGAUAAAGCGGGUGAAAAGCCCGCUCGCCGGAAGACCAAGGGUUCCUGUCCAACGUUAAUCGGGGCAGGGUGAGUCGACCCCUAAGGCGAGGCCGAAAGGCGUAGUCGAUGGGAAACAGGUUAAUAUUCCUGUACUUGGUGUUACUGCGAAGGGGGGACGGAGAAGGCUAUGUUGGCCGGGCGACGGUUGUCCCGGUUUAAGCGUGUAGGCUGGUUUUCCAGGCAAAUCCGGAAAAUCAAGGCUGAGGCGUGAUGACGAGGCACUACGGUGCUGAAGCAACAAAUGCCCUGCUUCCAGGAAAAGCCUCUAAGCAUCAGGUAACAUCAAAUCGUACCCCAAACCGACACAGGUGGUCAGGUAGAGAAUACCAAGGCGCUUGAGAGAACUCGGGUGAAGGAACUAGGCAAAAUGGUGCCGUAACUUCGGGAGAAGGCACGCUGAUAUGUAGGUGAAGCGACUUGCUCGUGGAGCUGAAAUCAGUCGAAGAUACCAGCUGGCUGCAACUGUUUAUUAAAAACACAGCACUGUGCAAACACGAAAGUGGACGUAUACGGUGUGACGCCUGCCCGGUGCCGGAAGGUUAAUUGAUGGGGUCAGCGCAAGCGAAGCUCUUGAUCGAAGCCCCGGUAAACGGCGGCCGUAACUAUAACGGUCCUAAGGUAGCGAAAUUCCUUGUCGGGUAAGUUCCGACCUGCACGAAUGGCGUAAUGAUGGCCAGGCUGUCUCCACCCGAGACUCAGUGAAAUUGAACUCGCUGUGAAGAUGCAGUGUACCCGCGGCAAGACGGAAAGACCCCGUGAACCUUUACUAUAGCUUGACACUGAACAUUGAGCCUUGAUGUGUAGGAUAGGUGGGAGGCUUAGAAGUGUGGACGCCAGUCUGCAUGGAGCCGACCUUGAAAUACCACCCUUUAAUGUUUGAUGUUCUAACGUUGACCCGUGAUCCGGGUUGCGGACAGUGUCUGGUGGGUAGUUUGACUGGGGCGGUCUCCUCCUAAAGAGUAACGGAGGAGCACGAAGGUUGGCUAAUCCUGGUCGGACAUCAGGAGGUUAGUGCAAUGGCAUAAGCCAGCUUGACUGCGAGCGUGACGGCGCGAGCAGGUGCGAAAGCAGGUCAUAGUGAUCCGGUGGUUCUGAAUGGAAGGGCCAUCGCUCAACGGAUAAAAGGUACUCCGGGGAUAACAGGCUGAUACCGCCCAAGAGUUCAUAUCGACGGCGGUGUUUGGCACCUCGAUGUCGGCUCAUCACAUCCUGGGGCUGAAGUAGGUCCCAAGGGUAUGGCUGUUCGCCAUUUAAAGUGGUACGCGAGCUGGGUUUAGAACGUCGUGAGACAGUUCGGUCCCUAUCUGCCGUGGGCGCUGGAGAACUGAGGGGGGCUGCUCCUAGUACGAGAGGACCGGAGUGGACGCAUCACUGGUGUUCGGGUUGUCAUGCCAAUGGCACUGCCCGGUAGCUAAAUGCGGAAGAGAUAAGUGCUGAAAGCAUCUAAGCACGAAACUUGCCCCGAGAUGAGUUCUCCCUGACUCCUUGAGAGUCCUGAAGGAACGUUGAAGACGACGACGUUGAUAGGCCGGGUGUGUAAGCGCAGCGAUGCGUUGAGCUAACCGGUACUAAUGAACCGUGAGGCUUAACCUUACAAC
rnacentral:rRNA from 1 species